GUGCCCAGGUUAGCAGCACGUGCGGAAAUUGGGACAACACAGAGAAGAUGAGCACGACCCCUGCGCAAGGAUGACACGCAGGUUCAUGAGACUGUCCACACUCUG